CAGCAGUGGGGAAUAUUGCACAAUGGGGGAAACCCUGAUGCAGCGACGCCGCGUGGAGGAAGAAGGUCUUCGGAUUGUAAACUCCUGUUGUUGAGGAAGAUAAUGACGGUACUCAACAAGGAAGUGACGGCUAACUACGUGCCAGCAGCCGCGGUAAAACGUAGGUCACAAGCGUUGUCCGGAAUUACUGGGUGUAAAGGGAGCGCAGGCGGGAGAACAAGUUGGAAGUGAAAUCCAUGGGCUCAACCCAUGAACUGCUUUCAAAACUGUUUUUCUUGAGUAGUGCAGAGGUAGGCGGAAUUCCCGGUGUAGCGGUGGAAUGCGUAGAUAUCGGGAGGAACACCAGUGGCGAAGGCGGCCUACUGGGCACCAACUGACGCUGAGGCUCGAAAGUGUGGGUAGCAAACAGGAUUAGAUACCCUGGUAGUCCACACCGUAAACGAUGAUUACUAGGUGUUGGAGGAUUGACCCCUUCAGUGCCGCAGUUAACACAAUAAGUAAUCCACCUGGGGAGUACGACCGCAAGGUUGAAACUCAAAGGAAUUGACGGGGGCCCGCACAAGCAGUGGAGUAUGUGGUUUAAUUCGACGCAACGCGAAGAACCUUACCAAGUCUUGACAUCCUGCGACGCACAUAGAAAUAUGUGUUUCCUUCGGGACGCAGAGACAGGUGGUGCAUGGUUGUCGUCAGCUCGUGUCGUGAGAUGUUGGGUUAAGUCCCGCAACGAGCGCAACCCUUAUGGUCAGUUACUACGCAAGAGGACUCUGGCCAGACUGCCGUUGACAAAACGGAGGAAGGUGGGGAUGACGUCAAAUCAUCAUGCCCUUUAUGACUUGGGCUACACACGUACUACAAUGGCGUUAAACAAAGAGAAGCAAGACCGCGAGGUGGAGCAAAACUCAGAAACAACGUCCCAGUUCGGACUGCAGGCUGCAACUCGCCUGCACGAAGUCGGAAUUGCUAGUAAUCGUGGAUCAGCAUGCCACGGUGAAUACGUUCCCGGGCCUUGUACACACCGCCCGUCACACCAUGAGAGCCGGGGGGACCCGAAGUCGGUAGUCUAACCGCAAGGAGGACGCCGCCGAAGGUAAAACUGGUGAUUGGGGUGAAGUCGUAACAAGGUAGCCGUAGGAGAACCUGCGGCUG
rnacentral:rRNA from 1 species